rfam:Brachypodium distachyon strain Bd21 chromosome 3, whole genome shotgun sequence.
ACUGUAGUUCCUCCGUCCAACGAAUGAUGUCUCAACUUUGACUAAAUUUGAAUGCAUCUAUACACUAAGUUAUGUCAGAUACAUUCAAAUUUUGACAAACUUGAAACAUCUUUUGUUGAACGGAGGGAGUAUGAG